rnacentral:rRNA from 1 species
UACGAAGGGGGCUAGCGUUGUUCGGAAUUACUGGGCGUAAAGCGCACGUAGGCGGAUUGUUAAGUGAGGGGUGAAAUCCCAGGGCUCAACCCUGGAACUGCCUUUCAUACUGGCAAUCUCGAGUCCGAGAGAGAUGAGUGGAAUUCCGAGUGUAGAGGUGAAAUUCGUAGAUAUGGGGAGGAACACCGGUGGCGAAGGCGGCCAUCUGGGUCAAGACUGACGCUCAUGCACGAAAGCGUGGGGAGCAAACAGG